rnacentral:rRNA from 1 species
AUUGAACGCUGGCGGCAUGCCUUACACAUGCAAGUCGAACGGCAGCGCGGGCUUCGGCCUGGCGGCGAGUGGCGGACGGGUGAGUAAUGCAUCGGAACGUGCCCAGGAGUGGGGGAUAACGUAGCGAAAGUUACGCUAAUACCGCAUACGUACUGGGGUAGAAAGCGGGGGAUCGAAAGACCUCGCGCUAAUGGAGCGGCCGGUGUCGGAUUAGCUAGUUGGUGAGGUAAAAGCUCACCAAGGCGACGAUCCGUAGCUGGUCUGAGAGGACGACCAGCCACACUGGGACUGAGACACGGCCCAGACUCCUACGGGAGGCAGCAGUGGGGAAUCUUGGACAAUGGGGGAAACCCUGAUCCAGCAAUGCCGCGUGUGGGAUGAAGGCCCUCGGGUUGUAAACCACUUUUGGCAGGAAAGAAAUCGCCUGUGCUAAUACCAUGGGCGGAUGACGGUACCUGCAGAAUAAGCACCGGCUAACUACGUGCCAGCCGCCGCAGUAA